CUGGAGUUGUGAUGAUGAUCCUUCAGGGUGGAUUCUCUGACUUUCAGUUCUUAUAGAAUUAUUUUGAAUGGUUGAGUAAGAGGUGCGCAUUUGAUAUGGAAACUAACACUGUGAAGAUGAUUUGAUCUGCAGAAUUUUCUUCUCUUUGUUUUCUUGGUUUAAUAAAUCAUGGCGUCUUUCACUAUUUCUUUCAGUAGUAGGUCGCGGAUUACAGAUUAUUGUUUCUCUUGAUCAGCAUCUGAAUAAAGGCUGUCCUUACUAAUUGUAUUCUACUUGUCAACUUUGUUGCCCAAAUACUUAAAUGUUAGCUUAAGUGAUGGAACAAAGAAUUCUUGUUGCUGGUAUGAACUCUGAACAUGCAAAUGCUGUCUAUGAUGAUCUGAUUCAUGUGAAUUUUCUAGUCCAUAAUGGUCAUCAAAUAGUAGCAUCCAACUGCUAGCUCUAGCUUGUCAAUGACAUUGUAUUCUGUUUUUUGUUAUUAGCGUAUCCUCGGUUGUCAACCAGCACCGACGGUUGAGUUGAAGACCACCUUCAAGUUCUAAUGGACCUUCAGACUGUUUAAUCUUGACAAGAAAUAUGAGCUGCUAAUUCUUGAAGAAAAGGUGUAGCCUAUGUACUGCAAUUGAACAUCUUGAAUAAAUGACAAAAGUUCAUCUAGGCUGUAGUCUAUGUACUGCAAUUGAUGUAUUGAUACAGAUGGAAGCAGAGUAUGUUAUGUGUUGCUUAUAACUAAGUUAUGUGCUGUUAUUGCCUCUGUACAUGUGCGAUUAUGUGUUGUCAUUGCCUAUGAACAUGUGGGAUCACGUAUUGUUAUUGCCUCUGGAUAUACUUAGC
rnacentral:lncRNA from 1 species